rnacentral:rRNA from 1 species
UACGAGGGGGGCGAGCGUUGUUCGGAAUUAUUGGGCGUAAAGGGUGCGUAGGCGGUUUGGUAAGUCUCUUGUGAAAUCUAUGGGCUCAACUCAUAGUCUGCAAGGGAAACUGCCGGGCUUGAGUGUGGGAGAGGUGAGUCGGAAUUCCCAGUGUAGAGGUGAAAUUCGUAGAUAUUGGGAAGAACACCGGUGGCGAAGGCGGCUCACUGGCUCGUAACUGACGCUCAGGCGCGACAGCGUGGGGGGAUCAAACAGG